CAGGUGGGGUUGUGGUCGCUGCGUUUUGCGCAGAGGAAAGUCCGGACUCCAAGAGAAGGUGGAGGCAGGUAACUCCUGCCGGGGGUGACCCCAGGUUAGGGCCACAGAAAAUAACCGCCUCGUUUGCGAGGUAAGGGUGAAAAGGUGCGGUAAGAGCGCACCGUGCUCGUGGUAACACUGAGCAGCAAGGUAACCACCUCCAGGAGCAAGGCUAAGAAGGGCACUUUUGUCUUCUCUCAUAUGAUGCCCGGGUGAGCCGCUUGAGAUUAGCAGCGAUGCUUGUCCUAGAUGAAUGACUACACAAGACAGAAUCCGGCUUAUCUCCACCUG
rnacentral:RNase_P_RNA from 1 species